UGGGGAAUAUUGGACAAUGGGCGCAAGCCUGAUCCAGCCAUGCCGCGUGAGUGAUGAAGGCCUUAGGGUUGUAAAGCUCUUUCGCCGACGAAGAUAAUGACGGUAGUCGGAGAAGAAGCCCCGGCUAACUUCGUGCCAGCAGCCGCGGUAAUACGAAGGGGGCUAGCGUUGUUCGGAAUCACUGGGCGUAAAGCGCACGUAGGCGGAUUGUUAAGUCAGGGGUGAAAGCCUGGAGCUCAACUCCAGAACUGCCCUUGAUACUGGCAAUCUCGAGUCCGGAAGAGGUAAGUGGAACUCGAGUGUAGAGGUGAAAAUUCGUAGAUAUUCGCAAGAAACACCAGUGGCGAAGGCGGCUUACUGGUCCGGUACUGACGCUGAGGUGCGAAAAGCGUGGGGAGCAAAACAGGAUUAGAUACCCUGGUAGUCCACGCCGUAAAACGAUGGAGGCUAGCCGUUGGCGAAGCAUGCUCGUCAGUGGCGCAGCUAACGCAUUAAGCUCCCGCCUGGGGAGUACGGUCGCAAGAUUAAAAACUCAAAAGGAAUUGACGGGGUC
rnacentral:rRNA from 1 species